GUGACAUAUUUGCCGUGUUGAUAGAUAUUGUGUGCGUUUAUUUUGUGCUUAUCGUACUUGACAUUCGUCGACUGGAUAUUUUGCGCGUUUCGGAACGUCCUCCCGCAAGUGGGGGAUGAUGCAUCGUCGUUCGUCGCCACUCAGAACAGCCUCAUCGGACGCGCAGCUUUGUCUCCGCGCUCAAAAGUGCUUUCUUGCUUCGUUUAUCGAUUACUCACGUUAAUCGCGUGAUUCAAUAUCGAGUGUACCUCCAAAGACAAUCCACUUCCCAGUGUUGUGACAAGCGGCGACCGCGGUUGUACAGGAGCGGAAGCGUGAGCCUUUUGACGAGCGACUGUGAAGAAUGCAAAGCCAGUGCCAAACUUCGGUAAGUUGAAGAAAGUCGCUGAACUAAGUAACUUGGUUAUUCAUUGCGUGAUGCUGUUGUGCAGGAACCGAUAGCCCGGGCGGCGUGUUGGCACAGCGAGGAUGAGAACGAGAGACCCGAUAGACACCGAUGACAGCUGUUCACGGCACCGACACAGAGGACAGAUUGCAGUGCAAGAUAGGAGCGGUCUUCCUGCAAGCCCAGACAAGCCAUAUUGAGUGGUUUCAAAUACAGCAACUGUACCACCACGACAGUGCAGCACAAGAGACCCUAUCGUCAGUGCUGAGUCAGAAAUUAAAUAGAAAAGCGCUUUCUUCUGAAA
rnacentral:lncRNA from 1 species